CAGCAGUCUGAUUGGUCCACAGGAGCCACCCAAUCCAGCUCCAGGUGGAAGCGAAUCCGCAACCUGAUUGGCCUACAGGUGAAUCCCGGAAUUAGCCAAUCACGUGGGGCCCAUUGUGUAAAUAAUGUAUAUAAAGCAGACAUUCUGGGGGAACUUCCAUUCCUCCUCACCACUAUGAGCUGAAUAAAGAGCAUGAAAUCCACCCUUGACUCUGAGUAUAUUUUAAGUAGACAUGGUUAUAGAAUCAUAGAACUGUAGAAUUGGGAGGUACCCUGUGGAUAAUCUAGUCAAACCCCUGUGCAAUGCAGGAAUCUCAACUAGAUCAGUUAGGAUAGCACUAUUACGCUUAAAGGGAUCCAUGUGUGUGUAACAGUGGGUUAUCCUUCACUGGUCUAAUUACCUAUGGUUAUGGAAUGUGGCUGGUGAGCCAAAUGGAAGCAAACAAGCACACAAUCUCUGAGCAUCAAAACAGUGUUCCUCUGACUCACUAAACAAUAUAUGAUACCAGAGAUAAAAAGCUACAACUGAGAGCAUACUCAAAGUGAAUAAUGGCACAAUUAAAAGUCCCUCCAGGACUGUAACUCUUUGGAAAUGCAGAAGAUUCACACAGUGUUUCAACCUGCAUCUGCCAACACAAAGGGAAAUGUUGAUGUAGACCAGCUGAUGGGUGCUCUCCAGGCGAGUUAAGCCAGGCCACUUGGGCUGAUGCUGAUUUAGUUUCCAAGAAAGCAGUGUGAGAAAUACCAAGGUGUUUUCUACUUCUCUUCUAUUUAGUAGGACCGUGCACUGAGGGCCAAGCCAAACUGGGCAUAUGUUGAAGGCCUUAGAUGAGUCAGGUCAAAUCAGCCAUACCUAUUAACUGCCCUGGAAAAAAAUGAGAUAUCCAGCAAGACCAAAGGCAGCCAUUUUGGGUGCUUUGAUCUCACGUGAUUUUCGACUGAGAUCUCACCCUGAAAAAGCUGUUUUUAAGGUCUAAGAACUUGUCUGGCACCCCAAAAUACAUGCUUUUGUGUGAUGUACCUUUGGGAAGACAGAGCAAGGACAGUAUGGCAAGGACAGCAUUGCAAAAUGUGCCAUAUUAUCAAGACCCAUUCCAUUCCAGGAUGAAGAACCUUCGGCCUGUGGGCCAAAUUUGGCCCAUUGGGAGUUCCAAUUUGGCUUGCAAGGCCGUUCCUCACAAACCAUGCUCACCUGCCCUAUACCUGAUGCCAUCUGUAAUAUCAGGUGUGAGGCAGGUUCUCACAGGGUUAGAGAGUAACAACUGGGAGCUUGAGUUCUGAAGGCUCCUUUGCUGUCUCAAAGCACACUCCCAUCAGUUAUCAUCUGAUGGGCAGUGGGAGCAUGCUUUGCUCUGAGAGCAUGAAGCACUUUGCAGGGGGAACGCUCCAUUUUAGCAGUAGUUUCAAUGAAAAGGUUGGUGUCAGGGAACUGCCAUCAGUGCCGGAGGGAGAGAGCAAGAUCCAGAGGGAUUCCAGAGAGCGUCCCGGGAUUGGGAGAGGCAGCCCAUCUUCUGGGGAAGAGAAUCAGCGUAGCACCAGUGGAGAAGGGGGGCAGAUGGGGGAAGCGGCGAGGCGGUCCCAUGACUCCUUGCCGGGGACCAAUGGGGAGAGUAGGGGUCCUCCGCUGCCUACGCCCUCCUUGCGCAGAAGGCUUUCGCGCAGAGAGAGUAGGAGGAGACUAGGCGUCAAAGAGCUUCUUUGCUGGAAGAAGUUUAAGAAACGCCCACUGACGGAUUCUGCCAGCGAUUGAGACAGCCACGGGUGAGUGGCUGUCCGGACAGAAAAGGUUCACUCAGGCAACCCAGCCAGGUGUUUGCACCGGCUUACACACGAGCAACCCCUAGAACCACUACAGUUGGCAUGUGGCAUCUGAUGGCACAUGAACAUUGAGCUCCUGGGUCAAAGGAGUUCUCCACACCUGAUUUAGACCAGGUGACUGAAGAUUGCAGUUCUAUACUUCUGAGUGCAACUGGUAAUUCAACUCCUUGUUGUUGUUUAGUCGUGUCUGACUCUUCGUGACCCCAUGGACCACAGCACGCCAGGCACUCCUGUCUUCCACUGCCUCCCACAGUUUGGUCAAACUCAUGCUGGUAGCUUCGAGAACACUGUCCAACCAUCUUGUCCUCUGUCGUCCCCUUCUCCUUGUGCCCUUCAUCUUUCCUAACAUCAGGGUCUUUUCCAGGGAGUCUUCUCUUCUCAUGAGGUGGCCAAAGUAUUGGAGCCUCAGCUUCAGGAUCGGUCUUUCCAGUGAGCACUCAGGGCUGAUUUCCUUAGUAAUGGAGAGGUUUGAUCUUCUUGCAGUCCAUGGGACUCUCAAGAGUCUCCUCCAGCACCAUAAUUCAAAAGCAUCAAUUCUUCGGCGAUCAGCCUUCUUUAUGGUCCAGCUCUCACUUCCAAACAUCACUAGUGGGAAAACCAUUCAACCCCUUAGAUUCUAGUUAAUGUGCCUUAUUAUUAUUAUUAUUAUUAUUAUUAUUAUUAAAAAUAAGGCUCAGACUUUUACAGUGAGAAUAAAACAAAAUCUUUAGGCUGCAGCCUAAGUGAAUUUACUUUUACGCAGGUCCUGUGGAACUCACUGGGAUGCAGUUGUAAGUAAGAAUCUUUCAAGACAGCCUGGCAUUCAGAUGAAGAAGGAAAAAAACCUUUAGGUCUGUGGGUGUAUUGGGGGGGGCAUCAGAGGAUGGCAAGAAAGUCCUUAUUCAGCUUUGCCCACCUGGGGAGAUUUCUUGCAACAGCUUGUUUUCUGUGCAUGGAAUCUAAAUUGAACUUUUGUGUCAAAGGUUUUUGGAAAGCAGAUUGGUGAGAAAUUGAAACACUGUACAAUUGGGAGCGGAGGGUAAAAGGAAAAAAAAAGGAGGGGAGCUUUUAACCACGAUGAGGUGGUAGAUUGAAACCUACAGUGAUUCUUCCUGCUGCUUUGAUUAAAGGCAAGGACUUUAGUUUAUUUAUGUUUUGAUUUUUUCUCCCACUCCUCCCUCAUCCUGAAUGUAGCUCGCCACUUGAGAUCCUGCGCUGGAUCAAAUCACGCAGACAACCCAUGUGAAAAUACAUCUGAUCUGAUCUGUUUGCUGUCAUAAGAACAUAGAGAAAUCCCUGCUGGAUCAGACCAAAGGCCCAUCUGUAGUCCAGCAUCCUGUUUUCUGCAGUGGCCAACCAGCUGCUUAUGGGACUGGGCUUCAGAAGCCUGCUGCCUCAGAUCCUGGCCAUGGCAUAAGGCUACCAGGUCAGUUCUGUAUCUCCGGCGGGCUAGGGACAAAGGUGAGAGCUAUUUCCUAGUUCUGCUGGAUCUCUCAGCGGCCUUUGACACCAUCGACCAUAACAUCCUUCUGGACUGUCUAGAGGGGCUGGGAGCUGGGGGCACUGUUAUACGGUGGUUCCGCUCCUUUCUCCUGGGCCGUGUCCAGAAAGUGGUGUUGGGGGAUGAGUGUUCAGACCCCUGGGCUCUCACUUGUGGGGUGCCUCAGGGUUCCGUCCUCUCCCCAUGCUUUUUAAUAUCUAUAUGAAGCCGCUGGGAGAGAUCAUCAGGGGGUUUGGGCUGGGUGUUCAUCAGUAUGCAGAUGACACCCAGCUCUACCUCUCCUUUAAAUCAGAACCAGCGAAGGCGGUGAAGGUCCUGUGUGAGUGCCUGGAGACGGUUGGAGGAUGGAUGGCGGCUAACAGAUUGAGGUUGAAUCCUGACAAGACAGAAGUGCUGUUUUUGGGGGAUAGGGGGCAGGCGGGUGGGGGAGAUUCCCUGGUCCUGAAUGGGGUAACUGUGCCCCUGAAGGACCAGGUGCACAGCCUGGGAGUCAUUUUGGACUCACAGCUGUCCAUGGAGGUGCAGGUUAAUUCUGUGUCCAGGGCAGCUGUCUACCAGCUCCAGCUGGUACGCAGGCUAAGACCCUACCUGCCCGCGGACUGUCUCACCAGGGUGGUGCAUGCUCUAGUUAUCUCCCACUUGGACUACAGCAAUGCGCUCUAUGUGGGGUUACCUUUGCAGGUGACUCGGAACCUACAGCUAAUCCAGAAUGUGGCAGCUAGACUGGUGACUGGAAGCAACCACCGGGACCAUAGAUCAUCAGUCGUAAAAGAACUACAGUGGCCCCCAGCUGACCUUUAAAGCCUGAAACAGCUCCGGCCCUGUAUGCCUGAAGGAGCAUCUCCACCCCCAUCGUUCUGCCCAGACACUGAGGUCCAGCUCUGAGGGCCUUCUAGUGGUUCCCUCACUGUGAGAAGUUACAGGGAACCAGGCAGAGGGCCUUCUCGGUAGUGGCGCCUGCCCUGUGGAACGCCCUCCCAUCAGAUGUCAAGGGAAUAAACAACUACCUGACUUUUAAAAGACAUCUGAAGGCAGCCUUGUUCAGAGAAGUUUUAGUGUAUGAUGUUGUAUUGUGUUUUUACUAUAUUUUGUUGGGAGUCGCCCAGAGUGCCUGGGGUAACCUAGUCAGGUGGGUGGCAUAUAAAUUAUUAUUAUUAGCCUUCUCCUCCAUGUCUUUCUUCAAUUCCCCUGUUUGAGCUGCCCAAGUGCUCCCUGCUUUCAUUUGAGCAGAGGCAUACCUUGGUAUUUGGUUGAUUCUUUCCAACCACAGGGGUGCUCAUCACAAACUCUGGCAAAAAGGCCUCCUUGAUGGCUGCCAAGGCAUUGAGUUGCAACAUGUGCUGAGCUGAAGAGGUGCCAAUGGAGGGUGAUGCUUCAGUGAAAAGUGGUGCCUUAUCAUACUACAGUGGUACCUCUGGUUAUGAACUUAAUUCGUUCUGGAGGUCCGUUCUUAACCUGAAACUGUUCUUAACCUGAAGCACCACUUUAGCUAAUGAGGCCUCUUGCUGCUGCCGUGUCGCCAGACCACGAUUUCUGUUCUCUUCCUGGAACAAAGUUCUUAACCCGAGGUAGUAUUUCAGUAACCUGAAGCGUCUGUAACCUGAAGCAUAUGUAACCCGAGGUACUACUGUACUCACCUCAGCAUAACUCAAACUGGUUCAGAGGACUGAGGGCAAAGGAAGCAGGAAGAGGAAGAAGAGGAAGAAGAGGAAGAGGAAAAAGAAGAAGAAGAAGAAGAGGAGGAGGAGGAGGAGGAGGAGGAGGAGGAGGAGUAGUAGUUUGGAUUUGAUAUCCCACUUUAUCACUACCCGAAGGAGUCUCAAAGUGGCUAACAUUCUCCUUUCCCUUCCUCCCCCACAACAAACACUCUGUUAGGUGAGUGGGGCUGGGAGACUUCAGAGAAGUGUGACUAGCCCAAGGUCACCCAGCAGCUGCAUGUGGAGGAGCGGGGAAGCGAACCCAGUUCACCAGAUUACGAGUCAACCGCUCUUAACCACUACACCACACUGGAAAUAGAAGAGACUCUGUUAUUGCUGCAAUCUUCUGCUUUGCCACAAAUAGUCCUACAGCUGCAUCCUGAGAUUUGUAAAGCUAUUCAUUCAUUAGAUUUCCAGGUUGUGGGCAGGGCGUCUCCUUCUCAUUGUUUCUGGUACGUUGCCUAAUAAUCCUUUGAUGGAACAGCAACAACAAUGGGAGCUGUUAUCUUUCAUUGACCAGUUCUGUCUAUUCCUCUUUACAGCAGGAGUAACCACAGCAUUUUGGUGCAGCCUAAUUUUUGUCUUAAUGUUCUGGAGCAACCCACUUUCACAAGCAAUGAAUUUUGCUCUCUUUGGUAGUUUCAGGGCAUCAGGUCAGAAGAAUUCCGUUCCUGUUAUCCAGACACACAAAAGUGAGACGUCUUCAUUCACAAUUAUCAAAUGCUGCAGUGCUAAUGCAAAGGCUAAACCCUGUUUCUGUAGAAGUCAAUAAUGUGUGUUUAUUUUUUUUCACCCCCCCAUCUUCUUCUCUUAUUGAUGUCAGUGCAGCAUUUCUGCCGGGUGAUAAAAAGCAGCUGAGUCAAAUCAAUAACCAACAAAAUGUAUCACCUGAUAAACAAGCAGACGUUUGUGCGGAGAGCUACUCAUUGACCUCCAAGGCUGUUGCAAAACCAUUGAACACCUUGUGAAAACCCCUUUAGGAAACUUUAGAUAGAUCAGCCAUUAGCCAGGAGACUAGGGAGAGGGCGGUUCUCUGUAGAAGUUCAAUUCCUGCGAUGACAUUGGCUGACAGAAAAUAGAAACUGUGGUUUGGUGGCCCAAUAGCAGUGCUUAGAGCAGGGGUGGGUGAGUCAAUCUAUAUACAGUAUGUGUCAUGUAUUUGAGCAAUUACCCAUAAUGUCUGUUCUGCAUCAGUUCCACAUUAGUCUGCCGUGACUGCUAUGUGUGUGACAGUUCACAUUUAUAUGCAUGUUAAAAUGUGCAUUUUUUGAUAUACAGUGGUACUUUGGUUCUCAAACAACUUGUUCUCAAACAACUUGGAACUCAAACACUGCAAACACAGAAGUGUUCUGGUUUGCGAACUUUUUUUGGAAGCUGAACGUGCUCCGUUUUGAGUGCCAUGCUUCCGUUUUGAGUGUUACGCCGAGGUCUGUCUGUUUUUGCUAUUUAUUUUGCGUUUUUGUUUUUGCGGCUCUUUUUGUUUUGUUUUUGUAACUGUGUGGAACCCAGUUCAGCUACAAAUUGAUUGAUUGUGUGACCCUAGUACAUUGUUUAUUGCUUUCAUUUUAUGGACCAAUGGUCUCGUUAGAUAGUAAAAUUCAUGUUAUAUUGCUGUUUUAGGGGUUGUUUUUAAAAGUCUGGAAUGGAUGAAUCCAUUUUGCAUUGCUUUCUAUGGGAAAGUGUGCCUUGGUUUUGGAACACUUUGGUUUUGGAACAGACUUCUGGAACGGAUUAAAUUUGAGAACUAAGGUACCACUGUAUCAUAUCUUCUCUAAAAACUGCAGAUUUCCAGAGGUAUUUUCUCUCAGAAUAUGCAUCUUCAAUGAAUUUUGACACUUGUUGCCUCCAGAAUCUUCUGACAACAUUUAGGAGGUACAAGAUCCAUUGCGCCUUUUUGGGUGCUGCGAUCUCUCGCGUUUUUGGGCACCAUGCUCUCAUGUGAGAGCGCCCCCACCCAAAAUGGGAUGUCCCAAUUUAAUCAGGACAGUUGAGGGGUAUUCCAUCUCCAUCUUUUAUAUAUAUCCAAAAUUAAUUUUCAAAUCUGCGUACUUUAAGAAUAUUUGUUUUGGUUAGUUUCUCCCGCCCCCCCCUAUAUAUAACACAACUCAAUAUUUCUUAAAAUAAAUGAAGAAAGCAAAUCCAUGACUUACGCUAAGAGCCUAAUGUCAGAUUUAUUUAUUCGAGGUGGCGGGCAGGAUAUCCCUAUAACAUCAAUCACAGAUCAUUAUAUGACAAAUCAUAUCAUUAGGUGGUGUUCAUCCGGUGACACAUAUCCAUUGUUGGAAUUGCUGGUGAGAAAAAGAAAGGAGGGAAUAAUCAAUGUUUAGAUCAUAACCCUCUAAUUGGUCUGCACAGAUCUGAAUGUUAAUGAAGGCUGCAGAGAACGGUCUUGCUUCUUAGCAAAUUGUAGCAAUGGGUAACCCUCUUCUCUAUCAGCCCACCAGAACUCUCCCUAGGCCACACCCUUUAUCCUCCAGGCACGCCCCUCACUGGUGCUGCCUCACAUCCAGAAGGGAAUAUGGCUUUCGGAUUUAGAGAAGUUGCAAAACCCUGCCCCAGGAUUUUUCAUACCUUAUCCACACACUUAGGGAGCCACCAUUACAAUGGCAGACUCUCUUCAUCUUGCGUAUACACUCAUUAUUCUGCUGCAGAGGAUGUUUCUCUGUGUAUUCUGGAACUCUAAUUUCCCAGAGUUCCAGAACACAUAGAGAACAGUCCUCUGUCUGUUAAGUUGCAUAUACUUAACAGGCAGCAUUGCACAUACAUUGUGAAGCCUUGCAGGGGGUGUACAACCAGCUCCCUCAAUGUGUUCAUUGUAUGAAUGGGUCACACUAUUAUUAUUAUUAUUAUUAUUAUUAUUAUUAUUAAAAUUAAAAUUUAUAAAAUGCCCUAUACCAGGGUCAGCAAACUUUUUCAGCAGGGGGCUGGUCCACUGUCCCUCAGACCUUGUGGGAGGCCAGACUAUAUUUUGAAAAAAAUAAUGAACAAAUUCCUAUGCCCUACAAAUAACCCAGAGAUGCAUUUUAAAUAAAAGCACACAUUCUACUCAUGUAAAAACACCAGGCAGGCCCCACAAAUAACCCAGAGAUGCAUUUUAAAUAAAAGGGCACAUUCUACUCAUGUGAAAACACGCUGAUUCCUGGACCGUCUGCAGGCCGGACUGAGAAGGCGAUUGGGCCAGAUCCGGCCCCCAGGCCUUAGUUUGCCUACCCAUGCCCUAUACCCAGAGGUCUCAGUGUAGUUCACAUAUAAAAAGGGCUUGGCUCUCAAAAUAAACUGGCAGGCUUCCUCUGCUCAGGAAUAAUGUGAUUUACUUUUUUCUGUUGUAAGAGUAUCUUAGACUCUAUCCCAUUGCCGUCCUAUGGAGAUUUUUGUGUGUGUGCAUGAAAUUUGGGGCCUGUGAAACCAGGGGCAAUUUGAGGAGAAGGAGAGAAAGGGUGCAAAAGGUUCAUGGGAGGUUUGCCAUUAUGGCGGCAGUGGUGUCCCUUAAAACAUAUUUUUAGCACCACUGUUGCAGGAGGUAGCAGUGGAACGUCUCUCCAGUGUCCACCAUGCCCCUGAAAGGAAACAAUGUGAGCCAGAUUGCUGCCCAAGGCAAAGGACAAGAUGGAGCUCCUUCCCAUUCCAUGUGCUGACACUGACUUGUAGUUGGAUAUGACAUCAACACUGGCAAUGGAAUAGCAUGCUCCACUGUACCUGAAGUUAGUUUACAAGGGGCCAGGAGAGGCCACGGGGAUACACAGAUCUGUUUUCCAAUAGCUAGGAGCUUCUGCAACCUGAGGCAGUUGUUUCCCUUUGCCUAAUGGUAGGUCCAGCCAUGCCACAUAAUGCCAGGGAACAAUAUUACAGUCAGGGUAAUCUGUGGAAAAUGUUGGGCUUCAAACACACCCUGCCCCUGCGCAAGCGUGGUUGGUGGCAGUAAGACAUAAGUAAAAGGAAAAAACUGCCCCUGUCACUACAAUAGUGCUCUCCUCAUGAAAGUUUCAAAGAAUUUCCCCCAAAGUUUAUUUUUUUAAAAAAUCCACCUACUUACAACUACUCUUUACCAGCCUUUUCUCAUCAGUAAAAAACAUGAGUAAUUGUGGCAUAAGUUACCAGGGAUCUCUGAAGAGGAAUCAGAUAAGGAGAAUGUGUGAUAUAUUACCCGUUUUGAACAUUAAGGCUGGAGUGAGCUGCAAAUCUUAACAUAACAUGUACAUAAUGAACUGAACUGAUAUUUUUUUAACAAAAGGUAUCAUCUCAGAGUCAUUAGGACUUAGAAAGAAAAUGAGGAGCUGGUUCAAUGCAUGUCCAUCACUUGAUUUUCCAACAAAUCCUGCCCACGUGGUUCCUCUUCAGGCAUUUACUCGGGAGGAGAGAGGGUCAAGAUUCAUGAAAAUAUCACCUUCUUCUUUGGCAAUCACUCAUAGCCGAGUAAGAUUGUCUUCCAUAAACACGGUUUUAACAGUGAGUCCGUAAGUGACUGUGGAGGCCAAUUCUGGAUCCACACGUCCUUCCACAGUGGGGACAUAGGUUUCCAGGUGGGAGUUGAUCAUGGUGAGGGUUUGCCAAGCAUGCCUUCCUCUUAGCACAUUUCUCCCUUGCGUCCUGAGUUUGAGUGUCUUCAAAGCCCAUGACACCUUUGGGAAAGGCUGUUCUCCAAUUGGAGUGCUUGCAGGCCAGUGUUUCCCAGUUGUCAGUGUUUGUACUACAUUUUUUAAGAUUUGCCUUGAGAGAGUCUUUGAACCUCUUUUGUUGACCACCAGCAUUACGCUUUCCAUUUUUAAGUUCAGAAGAGAGUAGUUGCUUUGGAAGACAAAAAUAGACCAUGAAAGGACCCCUGGAUAAAGUCCAGUCAAAGGCGACUAUAGGGUUGCGGCGCUCAUCUCGCUCUCAGGCCGAGGGAGCCAGCCUUUGUCCACAGACAGUUUUCUGGGUCAUGUGGCCAGCAGGACUAAACCACUACUGGCACACAGAGGACUGUGAUGAGUGCUAGAGCGCACGGAAAUGCCGUUUGCCUUCCUGCAACAGCGGUCCCUAUUUAUCUACUUGCACUGGCAUGCUUUCGAACUGCUAGUUUGGCCGGAACUGGGGCAGAGUUCACCCUGUCACAGGGAUUCGAACCGCCGGCCUUCCAAUCAGCAAGCCCAAGAGGCUCAGUGGUUUAGACCACAGCGCCUCCCAUGUCCCUACCAUGUAAAUAUCCCACGCACAUGGCUAUACGGGCAGAAGUCCUAAUAUGGGAACAUAGGCAUGGGCACAGCCUGUCUUCCUCUGAUGUGUGCUCAUUGUAAUCAUCAUCCAUUUACUGAGGUCAACACACUGAAAAAUCAAGCGAGGCAUCUGUAUGUGUGAACCAACUUGUGUCCACCACCCCUAUCCAUCGAUUGCACAUAGCUUUAGAGAUGGGAUAAGGAAGACCCCCAAGUGACCUUUUGCCUCUCGUAGAGUCAAAAUCUGCCUGGAUUCAAAUGCCAGUUAUUCAUAUUUUAUCCCCCCCCUUUUUUUUGGGUGCAGAAAUGAAUAGACGCAACACGAAAAGUGUGCAGAAACAGUAUCUCUCCCAAUAUAGCCCCUGCUCAUUGCAGAUACUUGCAUAAGUCCUUCCACAGCGAUGGUGCCUCUAAUUAUUCCUGCAGGUGUACCUUUCUCGGUGGGCAUUUUCCGUCAUUACACAGUCAUCUGCAGAGGUCACCAUUAAUCCACGAGCGAGUAAGAGAGAUUCCACUUAUUUCAGAAGAGGAAAUAGCACCGUCUUGGAAGCCUCCCAGGCCUCCUUCAUUCUCUGGCAUUCUAGAGACUCAAAAAAAAAAAAAAACACAUUCUAGCUGAGAGGCAUUGAACAUGGUGUGAAUAUUAAUGUUCCGGCUGUGUUAGCAGAACUGUGGUCUUGGGCUGGUGCCAAAUCUGAGCAUCUGAGAGAAGAAGCUGUUCUAGGACCUGUUCUUAUGCUACAGUGGACAUCAUUCGCAUUCCCCUCAGCAACACAGAUUGAUAUUCAGGGAUGUCAGCAAAGGCAACAUCCAUGAUCUCAGAAGCACAUGUUUGAAUACCAAAUCUGAAUGUGCAGAAUGCCUCACUCCCUUAUAAAUAUAUUUUUGCUAGUCUUUUUCAAUUUCUUUCUUUCUUUCUUUCUUUUCUUCCUUCUUUCCUUCCUUCCUUUUUGCUUCCCUUAGAUUCCUCCCCCUCCCCUCUUUUUAAGUAGAGAGUUCCAAGAACAGUUCUGAUUUAGGUAACUUUUCAUACCACAGUUUUUGUCUCUGAUCUUACAUAGCCUCCAACAUUUCUCCAUUGAAAAUAGGGACGUCCCAUUCCAUAAUGAUAAUUUUACUAUUUAUACCACAUGCAUCUUACUUUGGGCACUUAAAUAGGGACGCGGGUGGCACUGUGGGUUAAACCACAGAGCCUAGGACUUGCUGAUCAGAAGGUCGGUGGUUCAAAUCCCCGCAACAGGGUGAGUUCCCGUUGCUCAGUCCCAGCUCCUGCCAACCUAGCAGUUCAAAAGCACAUCAAAGUACAAGUAGAUAAAUAGGUACCGCUCCGGUGGGAAGGUAAACGCUGUUUCCGUGUGCUGCUCUGGUUCGCCAGAAGCGGCUUAGUCAUGCUGGCCACAUGACCCGGAAGCUGCACACCGGCUCCCUCGGCCAAUAAAGUGAGAUGAGCGUCGCAACCCCAGAGUUGGUCACGACUGGACCUAAUGGUCAGGGGUCCCUUUACCUUUAUCUUAAUUGGCAUUGUUAUAAUGAGGCUAUUGUUGGAGUGUAAUUGAAAACAAAUGGAAAUUAUUAUUUAAAAAUAAUAAUAAUGAGGGGGAGAAUGAUGUACUGUAUGCCACCUUCAGCUCUUUGAGGAGAAAGGUGGGAUAUAAAUGCUAAUAGUAAUGAUGAAGAUGAUGACAAGCCUUGAAUGAUAGAAUUGUAGAGUUGGAAGAGACCCCGAGAGUGAUAUAGUCUAACCCCCUGCAAUGCAGAAAUCUUAGCUAAAGCAUCCAUGACAGAUGGGCAUCCAACCUCUGCUUAAAAAACCUCCAAGGAAGGAGAGUCCGUAACCUCCCGGUGGAGUCCGUUCCACAGUCAAACAGCUCUUACUGUCAGAAAGUUCUUCCUGAUGUUUAGUUGGAACCUCCUUUCUUGUAACUUGAAUCCAUUGGUUCAGGUCCUAGCCUCCAGAGCGGGAGAAAACAAGCUUGCUCCCUCUUCCAUGUGUCAGCCCUUGAGACAUUUGCAGAUGGCUAUCGUAUUUCCUCUCAGUCUCCUCUUUUCCAGGCUAAGCAUACUCAGCUCCCUCAACCAUUCCUCACAAGGCUUGGCUACCAGACUCUUGAUCAUUUUGGUUGCCUUCCUCUGCACAUGUUCUAGCUUGUCAAUAUCCUGCUUAGAUUGUGGGGCCCAGAACAGGACACAGUACUCCAGAUGUGGUCUGACCAAGGCAGAAUAGAGCAGUACAGUGGUACCUCAGGUUACAGACGCUUCAGGUUACAGACGCUUCAGGUUACAGACCCAGAAAUAGUACCUUGGGUUGAGAACUUUGCUUCAGGAUGAGAACAGAAAUCGUGCAGUGCGGUGGCAGCAGGAGGCCCCAUUAGCUAAAGUGGUACCUCAGGUUAAGAACAGUUUCAGGUUAGGAACACCAGGAGCGCCUCCCCUACUCGCAGGGAAACCCUUUUUCGGGGGUCCGAAGCGACGUGGGGUGAGCGGCGCGGUGUUUUGAAUCAACCACUACUUUUACGGAGUGAAGCCGCACAGCCGUUGCCAGAGAGCGCUGACUUUUUCCUGUGGACAAUUGGACUCUAAACAAGUACCCGUGAGUAGAAUGGAAAAUUGGAUUAAGUACUAAGAAAUAUUUUAAUUUGGCACCGAAAUGGGAAGGUUCUAAACAGGAAGUCCGCCUCCCGUUUUUUGUAAAUAGAUUGAAGCAAAAACUUUGUAAGCUAAAGUCUGGAAAGUCGUAUAUAAAGUUCUAAAUUUCCUUCAUUCAUCAUCACCAAAACCCCUCUUGGGAGCAGGAGAAAAGAGGGGGAUUUUUGACUGUUUAAGCCUGCAGGAGAGAGAGUAAAGAAAGAUAAAUUUUCCACUGUCUCAAACCUGGGAACGGGGUGUCAGAGACAGAAAUUUAUGGGGAAAGUUCAUCGACUGUGAACGGAACGUCUUUUGACAGAUAGUAAAAAAAAAGAGAGAGAGAAAUAUAUUGAUUCCAAUGUUGCUUCUUGCAAUCAAAAGAAACAAAGUAUUUGAAAAGUGAAAGUAAUUUUUCCUCUUUGGUCCUGUUUUUAAAAGAUGGAUACAAAUAGAAAUUGUCUCCUCUAGAGGGAGCUUGUUAAUUUGUUGCCGGAGCUGAUCUGGGGACCUCACAGCUGUAUGAUUAGGAUCGUGAGACCAGACUCUAACCUUGGGGGAAAAAAAUGUGUUUACAAGAAGUCUUGGUGCUUGCUCUUUGCAAGUGCCUUGCUGGAGCAGAUGCAUGAGAAGAUGGAUUUGAUGACUGUUGCAGUUAAAAACUUUGGACAAACGGCGAAUACCCAUAUAGAAACCAUUCAGGAACCAGCUCAGGAAUCUGUUUUGAUAGGGCAAGCGCAAGGGCAGAAGAAAAUGGAGGAGGUUGUUGUUGAACCUCAAAUAACACAAAUGGAGAGACCCGAGGCCUUGCAGGAGUAUAAGCCGCUGUUAUUGAAGUUCGAAUCUGGAGUGGACCGGGGGGCGGGGUCUGGAGUUGUGAGAGCUCUUAAUUUUGGAAAGACUUUGAAACAUGCUUUUAAAUAUUUUCUGGAUUACAGUGUUGACUGUGGGGAAUGGGACUGUGGGGAAUGGGCAGAUCUGCUGAGGAGAGAUGGAGAUACUUUUGGAUUGGAGUCCUCCCGAGACCUACCCCCCAAUGAGAAAGGAAAGAAAACAAGAAAAAGAUCAACAAAAGAUAAAGUAAAGGGCAGGUAUAAACAAGAAGAAGACCUGCAGAAGGGACAUGGAAAAGAUUUAAGAGCCUCGGACAUAAGAGCACCAGGUUGAUGGAUUAGAUAGACGAGAAAGGACUGACAAAACCCGAGACCAGGAAGAAGAGACGAUGGAUGAAGAUUGGAAGAAAGUUUCAAAAUUUAUUUAGAAAAGUAUUGUAAAAUUAAUGAGUAUUAGAAAAAUGUUGGAAUGAAAUUAUUUGGCUUUAGCAGAAAUGUCAAAAGAAUUAUGAAAGAAUAUGUUAUGGUUAAAAGAAUUUGGUAUAUAUAGUUUUAAGUUUUAAGUUCUUAGGGUUUUUAGGUAAGAUAAGGUUAAAAUAGAUUGAGGUAAUUUAAAUGACAGAAUAUUGUGAAAGAUGGAAAGGAUUUGCUGAGAUAAUUAACAACUAGAAUACAAAAAAGGGAGGUGUGAGGAGGUCGUUGAAAUAAAUUAAUGAAAGUUAAGGAUUUGGGAAUAUUAGACUUGUUUUUUAAUUGUUUGUUUAUUUUUGUUUUUUGAUCUAGAUGUAUUGUGUGUUUUGUUAUUGUGUUUUUUUUGACUUUGGUUUUUAUUGAUCUGUAUUGUUUAAUUGUUAUGUUUAUCUACUUCUUUUUCUCUUGUCCCCCUCUUUUGUCUUUUCUUUCUUCUUUCUUUGUAACUUUAAAAUUCUCAAUAAACAUCAUUUUUUUUUUUAAAAAAAAGAACAGUUUCAGGUUAAGAACGGACCUCCAGAAUGAAUUAAGUUCUUAACCUGAGGUACCACUGUACUUUGACUUCCCUUGAUCUGGACAUUACACUUCUGUUGAUGCAGCUAGAAUAGCAUUAGCAUAUAUAUUUUUGCUGCCACAUCAUACUGUUGACUUGUGUUAAGCUUGUGGUCCACCAAGACCCCUAGAACCUUUUCACAUGUACUACUGGCAAGUCCAUAUUAUAUUUGUGCAGCUGGUUAUUAAAGCGAAACCAUGUGUAAGUUGGACUAAAGGUAGAUAUUUCCUAUAUAUGUACCUGGGAUGGAAUUCUGCCAAAGCUUAAAAGGAUGGAAUUGCCACCCACAGGCAUAAGAAUAUAUUUGCAAGAGGAAUCCUAGAGGGACCUGUAUUGCAUAGUGGUGUUCCGAAGCCAACAGUGGAAAAGAUGUCACAUUUAAUUUUUUUAACAAGACCAAUGGGAAUAUAUAUAUAAAAUUUCCAUUCUUACUAAGCAGCUGCCUUUAUUUCUCUUUUAUGGAAAAGCUGGCCCAUGCCCUGCCAGGCUGCUUAGUGCACAAUAACAUUCUUUACAUAGUUCACAGCUUCAUGGGGGUGACUGACAGCUAGCCCAGCAUGUGCAAAUAGCUCUUUUGACACAUCAUGAAACCAAAAGUCAGCGUGACCUGAGGAAAGACGAGAGGUGAAAAGAAGGGUGACAGCUAGGAUGGCUGGCAAGGCUACCAGCAAAAACAUAUUUAAAUAGAAAGACAUCAUGAAUAUGACAGAGGUGUAUAAAAACCGUGACAGGUUCGGUAAAUAUGAACACAUUGGACAAAGGCUGUGUUCACAGGGUUUGUUGUUGUUGUUGUUUUUUGAUAGAUCUAAGACCUUAACAGCCCCCUAUAUUAGAGACCAUUUUUAAAAGUCACAGAUUGCCCCAAAGAAUCCUGGGAAACGAAAGCUUAUUAAGAGUGAUGAUUAGCUGACAAAGGUCCAUAUAGUUAAAGAUAUGGUUUUCCCAGUAGUGAUGUAUGGAAGUGAGAGCUGGACCAUAAAGAAGGCUGAUCACCGAAGAAUUGAUGCUUUUGAAUUAUGGUGCUGGAGGAGACUCUUGAGAGUCCCAUGGACUGCAAGAAGAUCAAACCUAUCCAUUCUGGAGGAAAGCAGCCCUGAGUGCUCACUGGAAGGACAGAUCCUGAAGCUGAGGCUCCAAUACUUUGGCCACCUCAUGAGAAGAGAAGACUCCCUGGAAAAGACCCUGAUGUUUGGAAAGAUGGAGGGCAGAAGGAGAAGGGGACGACAGAGGACGAGAUGGUUGGACAGUGUUCUCGAAGCUACCAGCAUGAGUUUGAUCAAACUGUGGGAGGCAGUGGAAAACAGGAGUGCCUGGCGUGCUCUGGUCCAUGGAGUCACGAAGAGUCGGACACGACUAAAUGACUAAACAACAACAAAGCAUUUCUAGGAGACCUCUGUUACUCACACAGACCUACCAUUUCCAGAGCAGUUUAACAAUAAACCCUUCUACCCAGGGAAUUCUGUGAAUUGUAGUUCUGUUGGGGGGUGGGAAUGGAGUCUCCUAACUGCUCUCACCAGUGUGGAAUUGAGUUUCAGCCACAAUUUGUGCAGCCAUCAGCACACGGGCACCAUCUUGUCCUUUGCCUUGGAUGGCGAAAUGUCUUUGGCUGGCGCCAUUGCAGUAAGGUGUGGAAAGCUCUGGAGAUGUCUGAAAUAGCUUGUGCAAGUGCCACGGUGUAUCAGCCACUUGCAAACACUGCUCCAUCGUUUGCAUCAUGGUUGUCUGUAAAAGAAAGGAUGUCAUCAUCCCAAAAUGUGUGGCUCUAGGAACAGCUAUCACCAUCACACAAUUAAUGAUAAAUGUGUGUGGAGAAUAUUGAGAACCAGGAGGGGUGGGGAGGUAAAGAAAUUAAUGUGAUGUUACAUUUAGAUUUAAUGCUAACUGAUCAAAUGAUUUUUAAAAGAAAAACUAUGCCCAAACUCUGCAGCAAGUGGCAAUCAGUCAAAAUUACGAGUUUUUGAGGAAUGGAAUGACAUUUUGGGGGGGACAGAUGGGAUUUAAGAUAGCUGCCCUGCAUUGUAUAAUCACAGCUGCAUCUAAAGCAUUUAAAGAACCAAUUGGCGAUGCAAUCUAAGGCAAACUGAGCUGAAAAAAUACAGAAUAUGUGUUUAAGAUACAUUUUAGAAGUGUGAGAUUUUUCUUUUUCUUACCACCCAAUAAAAGGAAGGCAACUUUGUUGAAAGAUGUCUAAAUAGUUUCCUCAAUUUUGCCAUUUGUUGGCAAGGCAUCAGAAAAUGCUAGUUCUUGGGUGAAUCUUUCAAGUUCAGUUCUCUAAGUUUCUUAUAUUUCAAAUCCUAAGUAAUGUUCUCCACAUUUCCACAGCAAUUUGUGAUCUUCUUUAAAAAAAAUUCCCAUGGAAAUUCAGCAUUUUAGUAUGAAUUUCCUCUAGUAACAUUUUUUUAUACAGUUUUGAGUAAUACAGAAUCAUAAAAUAUUAAGAGGAGGAGUUUGGAAUUGAUUUUUUAAAAAUGAUAUUUAUUACUUUUUCAACAUUUCCAACACAGCACUACAAACAAAAAAAGAGAAAAAAAGAGAAAAGAAAAAAGAGAAAAAACAAUACAAAUACAAUACAAUACAAAAAAAAAACGCUACAUGGACUAACAAAGCAAAGAAAAGCAAACAAAAACAAUUUAAAAACACCUCAAACAUUUUCAAUAUCUUAUAUUUCAUUCACUUAUUUCCAGCGACCUCCUCACACCUCCCUUUUUGUAUUCCACUUCUAUUAUUUGUUUCAGCAAUUCCUUUCCAUCUUACUCUGUUUUCUGUUCUAUAAUUAUCUUAACACAUUCUUACCAUACUUUCCCUUUAAUUUUCUAUUAAUCUAUUUAUACUUAAUUCUUUAUGACAUUUCUACUAAAGCCAUGUAAUUUCAUUCCAACAUUUUUCUAACAUUCCUUAAUUUUACAAUAUUUCUAUAAAUAGUCUUUAAACUUUUUCCAAUCUUCUUCCACCGACUCUUCACCCUGGUCUCGGAUCUUGCCAGUCAUUUCCGCCAAUUCCAUAUAGUCCAUCAACUUCAUCUGCCAUUGUCCAACACUUCAGUGUUUUCAAAAGCAACCAUUCUCUCAACCAGCAAAAAGCAGAUGGUUCACAACGAAGUUUAAAGGUCUGGCAGGGCAGGUCCACCUCCUUCUUUGGCAUCCAUCAAUAUCUUAAGUUUUACUCGAGGCUUCCUGCCCUGUCAAACAACUCUAGGAGCAUCCCUCUGCCACCUCCUGAACCCCUCCGUCCCAUCCAAAGCUUGCAAUGUUUGAAAGAAAAGCAACAUCCCCAGCAACACAGCAGCCCUCAUCCCCACCACAAUAACUCGGCCCAACAGUAACAACUUCUGAUUUGUCCAUAUUUCCAAAUCCCCCUUCUCCUCAAUCCAGCAUCCUUCACAAUUAUCCUUAAGCAGAUUCACAUUUUUGGCGGUCAUACUAACCCCCAAAUACCUCUCUUUCUCAACCAAUGUUAGUCCUGUCACCUCUUGAAACUCUGUCAAGCUUUCCUUUUCCAAUUCAGAUAGGGCUCUGGUCCUCAAAUUCAUCCGUUCUUCUUUAAGUUCAAUCAUAACAAAUGUCAGCUUAUGUUCAUCAAGUUGUCUUUGUAUGGAUGGGACUCUCCUCUCCAGUUGUAUUACUUUGGAUUCAGCAGCAAGGGUUUUUUUCCCUGACUUCAUCUGCAGUUUGCCGUAUCAGAGUAGAUUCCUGUGUCAGUUUCUGGGUGGUUUCUGAAUUGGUAUUCACCUUUUGUCCCAAGUUAUUUAAACUUUCUACACUUAAAUCAAUUUCAAUAUUUGCGACAUCCAAUUUCACAUUUAUCGCAUCUGUUUUCUUGUGGAGUUGUUCCAGCGAGUCGUUUAUUUUCAAUAAUGCAGCCACUAAGGCCUCCUCUGUCGGCAUCCCGUCUGUUUUUUCCUUUCCGUUUGCCAUAACACUUAAGAAACUCAAGGUCAAUUCCAAAGUCUCACACUUUUUUAUCUUGCAGCUGGAAAUUCCCCUAGCCUAGCUCCUAUAAAGUUACCAAUUUCAAAAGCUUCCACUAGGGGAAAACAGGUUGUAUUUGUAUCGGUCAGUAUGUCCUCUUUUAAACACAGUUUCAAUAAUCCAAAGUUAGUUUCAAUUUUCAGUUACUUUCCUCCUUUUUUAAAAACAACCGGAGACAGUAGAAACAAUGUAUUCUCUUGAUUAGCUACCUGUCAAUGAACGUUCUAAAUGCUGUCAAUGGACAUUCCAAAAAACAUCAAUCCUGCUAGCAGCCCAUUUCCAGGGUCAGAGCGGCGGUAUUUUAACUCUCUUAACUCUCUCCUACAGGCAUAUUCAGUCCACCACUUCCCCCCCUCUUCUCCUGCCUCCAAAAAGGGGGGGAUGUGGAAGAAGCAGACGAUUCGAAGCACCGCGCCACUCACCCCACAUCGCUCUGGAUCCCCAAAACCGGGUUUCCCCGCGAGUAGGGGAGGCGCAAAAGGUGCCCGCCAAAUCCCACGUUCACAGGCUUCUCCCACCUGUGAUUUUUACGGAUCUCUGCCUUUGCCGUGACGGUACAGACCCAAAUUCCCACAGGGCAAAUUCCUCCCGAUCAGAGGAAUUCCGCCAUUGCCGGAGGCACCAACCCGGAAUUGAUAUCCCGCUUUAUCACGACCCGAAGGAGUCUCAAAGCGGCUCACAAUCUCCUUUCCCUUCCUCCCCCACAAACACUCUGUGAGGUGAGUGAGGCUGAGAGACUUCAGAGAAGUGUGACUAGCCCAAGGUCACCCAGCAGCUGCAUGUGGUGGAGCGGGGAAGCAAACCCAGUUCACUGGAUUAUGAGUCCACUGCUCUUAACCACUACACCACGCUGGCUCUGGUGUAUUUAACCACUAUACCACGCUGAGUUGGAAGGGACCCCAAGGGUCAUCUAGUCCAACCCUCUGCAAUGCAAGAAUCUCAGCAUCCCUGACAGACGGCCAUCCAACCUCUGCUUGAAAACCUCCAAGGAAGGAGAGUCCUCAACCUCCCAAGGGAGACUGUUCCACUGUCAAAUAGAAUCAUAGAAUUGUAGAGUUGGAAGGGAUACCUUUUUCAAGCAAUUUCUCCUAUUAUGGUCUGCUUUUGUGCAUUAUUUUCACCAAUAUGUGUGUUUCAAUGCACACAUGGCAUGUGACAUUUGUGUGCACCCUUGAAGUGAGAGCAAUGUCGUGAAGUGGCCCUAAUUGGUGCAGAGUGGGCCCAUCGGAUUAGGGCUUAAUCUUUGGAUUUUGGCAGGAAAUAAUGAAUUAGAGAACAGAGACAUUGUCUGUCAUAUCUGGAGCCGAUAGCAAGAUUUUACAGCUGAGCUAUAAGCCAAUAAAAGCUGGCUUUAUAAUUGAAGUGCUGACACACAAGUCUUAGGCAUACUAGGGUGAGCACAUCACUAUAUAACACAUGAAUCAAAAGUCUGUUUCAUAGAGCAGCAAGUCUGUAGCUGAAUAUGCAGAUAACUUGGCUUAAUGAACAGCCUAAUUUAAAACGUGCGCACACACGCCACAGAGUUCAUGUGGCUAAACAAUCAGUGACUGUUAUUAAUGUUUUAAUUUUGUGGACAGAAGUAGGAUGCAUACAAUUAAAUCCGGUAGAAACACUCCAGAGAUAUUUAUUUAUAAGGAAGCUUGCUAAAUUUACAUUGUCAUCUGUUAGAGAACAGCUGCUGGGUCAGGGUUACAAAACCGCAGGAAAUAAAAAGGUUCAUUUUUUUCCUGGCACCUUAUAAAGUGUUGAACAUUCCUGGAGAAGAUGCCCAGGAUAGCUCAUGUGUCAGGAAAGAAUUGAGGAAGGUGAAAUGGCAAAAGAGCCCGGCUAAUGACAUGGCUGAAAGACUCUUCCGUGAGGGAACAGGUGAGUGUUUUAGGGGCGCUGCUGCAGGCACAGAUGUCCUUUGUGGCUUGGAGGGCCACCUUUGCUGGUAAGACAGCUAUGACCAUUCCUGGCUUGACCUCAACUGUCUAUGCAUUGGUAACCUCAAGUCUGGAUACUGCUGUGUCAAACCCUCCAAGUAUUUUCCAGGGAAUGGGUGGGGCCCUGACCGACUCCAGCUACAAAGACCAAGGCUGCUGAAGAGGCCAGAAGCCAUCUUGGCUGUGAGACUUAGAAGACCUGCUUCCUGCUUGGUUGGCUUUUUCCACCUGUCAUGGGAGGGUGGGGCCUGUUAGAAUUCCUGCUCCAUGGUUGCAGUCAUGAGAUUUUUUUCUAACCCAUGACGGUGUAUGUUUGGACUCCACAAAGUGGGAAGUGACAGAGACAGGAUGUUUGUGUUACUGUGUUCCGUGAAGUGGGAUUAUUGUCCUUUGUUUUCUUCUUCUUUUGCUGUCUGAUGCUAGAGAGAGAGGGAGCCAUGUUGCAGUGCUCCGUGUGUGUUUAUAUGUAAAUAAAGUAGAUUAGCCAAAAUGCUGAGUUGCUGAGGUCUGUUACGCAAGUUGCACAAACUCUGCGGAUCCCUAAGUGUGCCGGUGUCUGUUGGGAUCGGUCGCUGUGAUGUUUGGGCUGAAGAAAGCUUUUGAAGCUCCCGAACGAUUGACCAGGAGGGAAAGAACAUGCCAGUCAGGCAUGUGUCUCUGCCAGGGUCCUACUUGAGUGUAGGCUGAACUCCUGACAGGGCCCUGGCUGACUCCAGCUACGAAAGCUGAGACCAGACCCUCCAAGUGUCCCUAUUUUCCAGGGACAGUCCCAGAUUUACAGAAGCCAUCCUGGUUUCUGAUUCAAUCCUGGAAUGUCCCGCUUUUCCUAUUUUAGACAUCCCUAUUUUCAUUGGAGAAAUUUUGGGAGCUGUGGUAGAACGUCCCUAUUUUCAUGGGAGAAAUGUUGAAGAGUGUGGAGUUAUGCGACCCUAAAGCCAAAAAGAUAAGUAACUGUACAACCUUUAGAAGACAUCUGAAGGCAGCCCUGUAUAGGGGAAUGUUAAAAUGUUUAAUGUUUAAUUAUGUUUUUAUAUAUGUUGGAAACCACCCAGGGUGGCUGGAGCAACCCAAUCAGAUGGGUGGGGUAGAAAUAUUAUUGUUAUUGUUAUAAUGGAAUAAGAUGUCCCUAUUUUCACCAGAGAAAUGUUUGAGGGUAUGUUGUGUGCUCCAUGUGGGGCUACCCUUGAGGUUGUUCCAGAGGAUGCAGCUAGUGCAGAACACAUGGCAACUACACUAGCGGCCAAAAUAGUGGAAACCUUUAGGGAAAAGUGUACUUCUGAGGUUUGAUGGCUCAUAACACCACUAUUUUUUGGAGUAAUACCAUAAAAUUAUAUAUCAAUGGAAAUAUAAUUUAAAGAAAAAUGCAAUACAACAAAGUUUGUUCAAUUAUCUGUAUUCUAUCAAAGCUUAUAGCCAAAUAACCAGGAAAAGGAAGCACAACUUGCUAAGGUUGAUAUACAGUAGGUUUCCUUCAUUUGAAUGUAGCCAAUGAGCAUGAGUGUCUAGAGAGCCAAUCAGGUGUUAUGAGCCGUCAGACCUCAGAAAUACACUUUUCCCGAAAAGUUUCCACAAUUUUGGCCACUAGUGUAGGUUGUUUGAUGGGGGAAAGUACAACCACCAUAUAACACCUUGCUCACUGGAUUUGCAUGGGCUGCCAAUCUGCUACUGGGCCAAUGUCAAAGUUUUUAAUAAAAAAAAAUCCUUCCAGUAGCACCUUAUAGACCAACUAAGUUUGUUAUUGGUAUGAGCUUUCGUGUGCUAUAUGAAGACGUGUGCAUGCACACGAAAGCUCAUACCAAUAACAAACUUAGUUGGUCUCUAAGGUGCUACUGGAAGGAUUUUUUAAAAUUUUGUUUCAACUACAGCAGACCAACACGGCUACCUACCUGUAAAUAGAACUAUGGAAAGUUUUUAAUGUGUAAGCCCCUAUCCUGCUGUAUACCCCUGUACGUGAAAUACUGCCUUAUAAACUUAGUAGGUCACUGGGGUCUACAGAAGAGCUUCUCCUGCACUUUCCAAAGUUAUUAGGAACCCACUUCACUCAGAGCAAAGCAUUCAAUGACCCUGUUUUGUGGAACGGUAUUCCUGCUGAGAUACAGGAACCUACUACAGCGGUACCUACUUAAUUCAUUCCGGAGGUCUGUCUUAACCUGAAACUGUUCUUAACCUGAGACACCACUUUAGCUAAUGGGGCCUCCCACUGCUGCCACACCGCCACUGUACGAUUUCUGUUCUCACCCUGAAGCAAAGUUCUUAACCUGAGGUACUAUUUCUGGGUUAGCGGAGUCUGUAACCUUAAGCGUCUGUAACCCGAAGUACUACUGUAUCUGCGUUUUCCAGAAUCAACCGGAUACAUUUAUGUCCAAAUAACCUGUCCUGGGUCUCUCCUGUGGAAAUCCAUUUUGUAUUUAUUUAUUUUUUAAAAAAAUAAUCUUGUGUGUUCUUUUUCUUUUGCUGUUCUUAACUGCCUUUAUUUGUUUGCUUGUUACAUUUUGUACAUCACCUUGAGAUAUAUUUGUGGAAAGAGAGAUCAUAACCACCCCUAUGACCACAUCAACACUGGUUUUCUUUCACCAGUUUAUUUCUUGAAGUGUUCCCACAGUAACAACCAAGCAUAGGAGCCAACUCCUAGGGACUGAGGUCCCUUUGCCUCCCCCCCAAUAAAAUACUCGAGGAGCCCAGGCCACCCAAAAGUUAAUGGGCAUUUCUAUUCAAAUGGGAUGUUUGUGCCACAUCACAUGAUCAAAUAUGCAGGUCAGGGCUUACCUGGGUUUCCCCCAAUAUUUUAUUCUAGUUGGCACCCCUGCAACCAAGUAAUGCAAAAUCAUAAUCAAGUGCAAUGGAUGAAAGCUAUCAAUGCACACAUGUUCAUUGCUAGCAAAAGGUGUGUGUCCAUGGCAGGGGAGGGAAAGCUGUUGAUAUGUGUGAACUGCAAAGGCUGUGGCAAACUGUUGUUGUUGUUGUUGUUUAGUCGUUUAGUUGUGUCCGACUCUUCGUGACCCCAUGGACCAGAGCACGCCAGGCACUCCUGUCUUCCACUGCCUCCCGCAGUUUGGUCAAACUCAUGCUGGUAGCUUUGAGAACACUGUCCAACCAUCUCGUCCUCUGUCGCCCCCUUCUCCUUGUGCCCUCCAUCUUUCCCAACAUCAGGGUCUUUUCCAGGGAGUCUUCUCUUCUCAUGAGGUGGCCAAAGUAUUGGAGCCUCAACUUCAGGAUCUGUCCUUCCAGUGAGCACUCAGGGCUGAUUUCCUUCAGAAUGGAUAGGUUUGAUCUUCUUGCAGUCCAUGGGACUCUCAAGAGUCUCCUCUAACACCAUAAUUCAAAAGCAUCAAUUCUUCAGCGAUUGGCCUUCUUUAUGGUCCAGCUCUCACUUCUACACAUCACUACUGGGAAAACCAUAGCUGGCAAACUGAGCAUGCCUCAAUUUAGAUGUUCUUCUAGCUGAGGCAGGACUCAGGAGGCAUGGAAGACAAGGCAGAACAAACCAAAGGGAAAAAAAUAAAUAAAGGCAUGAAUGGGGUGUGGGAAGAAUCUGCUCCUCCCUAGGCAUUAGCAAGACUCUUGAGAUGUCAUUAUGUACAAAAGCAUUAAAAAUAUCUUCCAUUGCUUAAAUCUCAACCAUUAAGUCUUAUCUGCGUUUUAAGCGGCCAGCUGGGAAUUUGAGCAGAGCAAUUUGAAGCUUAGUGAUGUUUCUCUGCAGAGAUCAUUGCAACAUGCGCUUCUGAGGGAAACAACAAAUAUUUACUUCCUGAGAAUGAAUGGAAACCUCGCGGGGAAUAUGAAUUUGCGUGGGCUGAGUGGAGUCAGUUUGCCAUGGGUCCUUUCGCAGUCUCUAAAGUCAAUCAAUCAAUCAAUCAAUCAAUCAAUCAUUCGCUUAUUUAUUUAUUUUAUAAAAUAUUUCUAUACAGCUGUCUUAUAAAAAUAUAUCACUGUGGUUUAGAACAAUAUAAAAACAUACCUGUGUAAAAAAGAAUGUUAACCUGUGUAAAAAAGAAUAUUAUAUCAAACAGUAUAGUGAGAAGGAUGGGAAGGAUCAUGUCGAUGAAUACUUUUACUAUGUAAAUAACUUUGUCUUUUUUUAUUUCUUUGUUUCUUAUCUUUGUUACUUCUUUAUUUUUCUUUCUUUCUUUAUAAAUUUUGAAUUUUAUAUAAUUUCUACCUGUUAAGAGAUAGUACAUAAUGUCUGUAUAGACAUGCAUAUUUUUAAUCAAUAUUAACAAACAAAAAGAAUAUAAAAACAUAAAACCAAACAAUAACAGUAUAAAAAGUAAAAAAAAAAAAGAAGAAGUGAAAAAUGAAAAGAAAUUAAAAAACAAACAUCAACUCUUCAGGGUUGGUAAGUCCACAGGCUGCAAAAUCUUCAGAGAGAUGAUCCAUAAUAUCAAUUACCUAUAUUUGGAGGACUUAGAAUCAUAGAAUCUUAGACUUGGAAGGGACCACAAGGGUCAGUUAGUCCAACCCCUAGCAUUGCAGGAAUCUCGGCUAAAGCAUCCAUGACAGAUGGCCAUCCAACCUCAGCUUAAAAGCCCCUGAGGAAGGAGAGUCCACAAUCUCCCAAGGGAGACUGUUCCACUGUCGAACAGCUCUUACUAUCAGAAUGUUUUUCCAUCUCCUUUCCUGCAACUUGAAGCCAUUGGUUUGAGUCCUACCUCCCAGAGCAAGAGAAAACAAGCUUACUCCAUCCUUCAUGGGACAGCCCUUCCGAUAUUUGGUUCAAGUGGAAGAAGAAAGGGAAGGAAUCCACUAUCUCCAUUGACUGGGAUUCUUCUGGGCAGCCAAGUAUCUAGCUUCUUCUCAUUUUCAUAUUUGGCCAUCCAAACCCCAUGGUACAAAGUACUACAACUGAAUAUGUUUCAAGUACUAUAUGGUACUCCAGGCUGCGGAAAAAACAUGAGGGGCAGGUCUAUGGAUGUCGGCUGGUGUGCCCCAACAAAGCCCUGACAAUUUGUCACCAGCAGUAAUAGUUUUUCUCAGAUCAAAAUAUUGUCAGCUCCGAAAAAAGAAUAACCAAAGACGACAAAUUAUGGUACUCAGGUGUUCUUCUGUGUCUGCCACCUUUUGUUGUACACGGAGGUGGGAAGUUGUGUGUGAAAAAAGGUGGCGCAUAGCUUCCAGCCGUCUCCUUCUUGUGCUUACCUCUUCAUAACAGUGUGUCAAAUCGCUUGGUGCGAAAGGAGUCUUGUUAUACGAAUGGCUCAGGCACUUUCAGCUGAAUACCUGGUCACUGACAAGGGGGGAAAGGCAAGAAUUUCAUGGCCAUCAUAGAGCUAUGAAACCCCCGACAACUCACACAGUUUGUGUUAACAGCUUUUUGAUGGGUUCUCUGCUGAGCCUUGACAACUGGAUUCAGGUGUUGGUAACUUAACGUAUCAUCUAUUAUUGUUUAUUAAACAUCUUACAGCACAAGCCUAACCAUACCUACUUGGAAGCAAAUCCUAUUGAAUGCAGUGGGGCUUAUUCCUGAGUAAGGGGGUGGGGGUUUAGGAUUGCAGCCUCAGUCGCCUUUCUCAAAAAUGACACAAGGUAACUUACGGAAAUAUAAAAAUAUAUAGAAUGUACAAAGCAACAAAGCAACAGUGAAUGCCUAUAACAGUAGAAGAAUGCAAAAAUUAACAAAAAAAUAACAAGAUCAAGGUAGGCAAAAUAUACAGUUAACAAAUCGGGUCCUCCCUUAAAGAGGGGACGUAUUGCGGUGAGACCGGGAAACCGACACCCUAUGUUGUGGGUGGGUACGAUUGGUCAGCCACAACACCCGAUUGGAGGUCCCUCGAUGCUGGGUUCAAUCGGGCCAAUGGCGCAGAGUCCAAAGGGAUCGAGGAACCUUUUUAUACCCAUGCACGUGACCCAGAGCUUCCUUUUUCGACUCGUGCAUCGGAACAACCGCCCACCUCUCCCUAUUUUUAGGGCUUGUGCACUUGACCUUGCUAUGCCGUCGUGUGUCGUCUGUCAUUGGGACAGGGGCAUGACAGGAAUUUUCCCACUUGGUUGAUUGGCUGUUGCCAUUUGGGUUUCGCCUGCCGUGUAGCAAAUUGUCACAACUUGUAAGGUUACGGAUAGGCUCUGGUUCAGGUGAUAGGGAUGGGAGAACGCUCUUGCCACCUCUAUGUGAAGGGUAUUCCGUUAAAGGAAUCCAGGGACUCAAUGGUUUGGUCAACCCUUGUGAGGGGCUUGUGCCUGUACCGGAGUCCAGGGGGACAUUUGGGUGGCGGAGAUAGCCUGUUCCUGGCUUUCCGCUUAUCCGUGUGUUUACCCUUGGCUGACCUAUGCUGGAACCCUGGGUCAGUGCUACCUGCAUGACAGGGAGCUAGUCGAACCAGAGCCUAUGCAACAAUUCACUUUCUGUAAUCAAUAAAGUUGUGGCCUAAAAUCUGCCAAAAACUAAAACUAAAAUUUGAGUCAAGUGUGAAUUUAUUUAGGGGGGAGGUCUCUGGGUCUGAACACACAAAUGAAUAAAAACCAAUGAUCAGUAAAAGCAGCACAUUACAUAUCAUCAAAUGCCUGAGAGUAAAGUUUUAAGCUGGCAACAAAAGGAUACUAAUGUUGGAACCAGGUGAAUAGGCUAUCAUAUCCUAUAAUGUGUAAUAUACACAUUCCUCUGACAGUGCUCCCAACACAGGCCUGCAGCAGGGAUUCUCAUUCAUUGAGGGAAUAGAGAAAGGCAAUGGUUGGAGUCUUGGUUGUUUUUAGUAGUCAGUUAAAUUCGCUGUGCCUGAAUAUAAAAGAGCUGUGAUCAUCUUAGCUCAGUCGGUAGAGCAUGAGAGUCUUAACCUCCGAGUCAUGGGUUCGAGUUUCAUGUUGGGUGAAUGCUUCCUGCAUUGCAGGGGGUUGGACUAGAUGACCCUUGUGGUCCCUCCCAACUGUACAAUUAUACGAUUCUCUGUGUUUAGCCAUCAGUUGCAAUCAGUGGCAGCUGGUGCUCAUUCAGACUGGUAGGGUGGAGGGCCGAGAAGACAACAGUAAGUGGAGCAACAGACAAUGACCAGCAGAACCGUCUAAUUCUAGCUUUGUCCCAAUUCACCUCCUUGCUGAGGUCUGUAAGGGCAAAACUGAGGCGCGGGGGGAAGAAGCUGACACCAUCCCUUCCAAUAUUCCUCAGGUGAAAAUAGGGACAUUCUAUUCCACAUCAGUAUCUCUGCUUGAGCAUUCCUCCCGGAAAAGUACAAAAGUUGUAAGAGGAAACACACAAAACCGCAAUCUUUGCAUUGCAGUAGAGCUGAUUCUACCCCUGAUAUUGUGGAUGGACCUAGCCAUCACUUAUUGAGUAUCUUGUCCAGGGGUUUAAGCCUUGCUAUAUCCUGUGUAUAUUCCUGUACUCCCCUAGGAAUCUUUGUAUCCUUUCCACCACCACCCCUUUCCUGUUACAAUGAUGGGUAAUUUGUUGGUGUGAGACGGAUGAGAUAGGCCAGAAUAUUCUGGAGUCACUCUCUUUUUCUGACAAAUAAAUAAUGUUCCUGCUUUCUUACCUGGCUGAACCUAUUCCUGAGAAGCCCAAGGACAUCCCUGGAGUGCAGUGAGACAGACAAGCGAAGCCAGCUGCCAGGGGAGGGGGAAAAAGGCAGAGGAAGAUGUGUUUAUGGGAGGGGGAAAAAUGCAUGGCUCAGAAAACAGAGGCUUAAAAUGCAUGGGGAUACCUUUUUUAAAGAGCCUGGGGACCACAUAUACAUCUGAGUGACCUCCCAGGGGCCACAUGUCAACGGAGAGUGGGGCAAGAGUCAAAAAGUGGCUGUGACGAUGAAUGCAAACCACAUUGGUGAAGUAAGCACACACGAAAGGUUUCUCCCUUUCUCUUCAGGCAAGAAAGAGGCCCUGCCACAGUUCAAGAAGGCAUUCUAGCCUGGGGAAAUCACUUGAAGAUUGCAGAGCAGGGCCAUUUUGUAAUAACAGCAACAACAACAACAACAACAACAACAACAACAACAACAACAAUUUUAUACCCUGCUCUGUUGGGAAACUAUGUACGUGCAGCUACUCACACAGAGUCAAUUAAGGUUUGGCAGACAGCCAGAAGGCAAUCUGAAGGAGUAAGUCUGCCUGGUGAAAACAGAGACAUGGAGACUGCUCCCUGAUUGGUCAAGCUCUCUCAAGGGAGUGAUAAUUAAUGGCCUACUAACUGGAAUGUGUUAGUUCAGAGUUCGGGAGGUUUAGAGAUCUGUGUCAGUAUAGGAGUUGUGAGUCGUAUCAGAGAGAGCUAGCAUAAGAUCCUUGUUCUGUUCCUGUAAAUAGUCCAGUGUAUAUAAUAAACACCUAACUACAAGUUCCCGGUUCCUGCUUCAUCUAUCCUGUCUGCAGCCAAGUCGCCAAUUGCUUCCAUGGAUUCUGCAUUUACUCUGCUAGGUCUGGCUAAGGUCCUGCAACUAGUCAGAAAGUUGCAAAACACCAGUAGGUUUUGCCAACCUGGCCACUCUGGGCAGCUUCCAACAUAAAACAUCAGUCAUUAAAAACUUCCCUAAACAGGGCUGCCUUCAGAUGUCUUCUAAACGUCAGAUAGUUGUUUAUUUCUUUGACAUCUGAUGGAAGGGCAUUCCACAGGGCGGGUGCCACCACAGAGAAGGCCCUCUGCCUGGUUCCCUGUAACUUCGCUUCUCGCAGUGAGGGAACCAGCAGAAGGCCCUUGGCACUGGAUCUCAGUGUCUGGGUAGAAGAAUGGGGAUGGAGACGCUCCUUCAGGUAUACUGGGCUGAGGCUGCAUAUAGUCUGAGGAAAGUGUAUGUGGCCUGGGGGGUGUCACCAAAAGGAUAUGAUAGUUGGGAAAGGUUGGGAAGAGGACAGCCGAAAUGAUCAAGGAGUGGAGUGACUCCCCUAUAAAGAAAAGUUGCAGCGUUGGGGGCUUUUGAGUUUAGAGAAAGGGGCAUGCAAGAGGUGACAAGAUAGAGGUGUAUAAAACGAUGGAUGGCAUAGAGAAAGGGACUUCUCCCUCUUUCAAAACACUAGGAAUCAUGGACCUCUAUGAAUGUUGGGAGAUUCAAGGCCGAUAGAAGAAUGUACCACAUCAGCCGUGUGAGGUGCUUGCCUCACUCUGCCUAAUAGUAGGGCCAGCCCCAAGGACAGGACGGCAGAGAGAGGUGAGCAGGGUGCAAUGGGGGAGAUGGAGACAAUGAGAUCAUCUCGGUCUCACUUCACAGGAGCCUAAUCGCAUGGAGGAAGAGCGAGUUAGGACUAAUGUAAAGGCAACCUUGGUGACAGGUUUUGUUUUGUGGACCUAUAUGUGUUUGUUUUGGGGAGGUGACAGUCUCACUGAAUUUGUAACAUAUGGAUCAGGUCUGCAUAGGUUCUACACAUAGAAAGAUCUCUGUAUUUAUUCUGCAAGGUGAAAUAAAUCACACCUAAUUGAAAGAAGUGGCAUUGCCUUCUGUAUCCCCUGAUGUCUCUGAAGCUGCAGGUGAAAACAGAUUUUUUUGUUUAGUUUUAUUUUUUGCCCUUUCACCCAUGAUAUAUCUAAAAAGGUGAAAUAUUGUUGGCUGGUGUUACAGAGGCUUAGCACUUUUCUAGUUUGCAGCUGUUGCUUUUCAUCUUCUGGCUAGGGGGAUACCAAAAAUAAAUGCCAGUGACAUCUGUCGGCUGCUUCAUCUUCAUUCAAAACAAGUUUUCCAAAUACUUGCAUGGAGGCAAAAGCACAAGGGUCUGAAAAGCGUUUCCAGCUAGCUGUGGGGUCAGAACCAGCAAAUGGAAUCCUUGGGCAGCUGAUGGGACCCCACCACAAAUACCUAACCUGGACUUAUUGAGGGGGGCGGGGAACCAAAAUUAAAUGAAACAUCUGGCACAGCAUUUCAAACUCUGUCAAACCUGUGGAUCUAUCUGCCGUUUGAAUUACUCCAAAUGUCUCAGGGGCAUCAGUGCAACAGGGGCACUGAGAAAACUGAAACAGUAGGUUGGAUAGAAAGCUGUUUCAUAUGGACUGCACCAGCUGCCAAUUACUUUUUCUGGGCCCAAUUCAAAGUGCUGGUGUUGACUUAUAGAGCCUCACACAGCUCAGGACCUCAAUACCUUAAGGAUCGCCUCUCCCCAUAUAAACCAACCCAGACCCUGUGCUUGUCAUCUGAGGCCCUUCUCGAUGUGUCCUUCCCUCUCCAAGAUUCGGAGGGUGGCAACAUGAAAAGAGGCCUUUUCUGUGGUGGCUCCCCAGAGCAGCUCACAUGGUGCCAUCAUUACAUGUCUUUGUCAGGAGUUCAGCCUACACUCGAGUAGGACCCUGGCAGAGACACAUGCCCGACUGGCAUGUUCUGGACGGCUUACAACAAAGUUUAAAAAUACAUUAAAAUGUCACACAUUAACUACUUCCCUAAACAGUGCUGCCUUCAGAUGUCUUCUAAAUGUCAGGUAGUUGUUUAUCUCUUUGACAUCUGAAGGGAGGGCAUUCCACAGGGCGGGCGCCACUACCGAGAAGACCCUCUGCCUGGUUCCCUGUAACUUUGCUUCUCACAAUGAGGGAACCUCGGCGCUGGACCUCAGCAUCCAGGCAGAACGAUGGGGGCAGAGACGCUCCUUCAGGUAUACUGGCCCGAGGCCAUUUAGGGCUUUAAAGGUCAACACCAACACUUUGAAUUGUGCUCGGAAACGUACUGGGAGCCAAUGUAGGUCUUUCAUGAACAAGCCCAAUGGCCCAAUGGGCAGAAAUACCCCAGCAACCGAGGGACUAGCAAUUGGGUUGUUGUGGCUAUCCAAUCGCUCCCACCCACACAAGCAGUGAGGUCAGUCCUGAUGAUCUCACCACAACACGUGCUCUCUGGGAGGAGGACACAAUCUGCUAGCCAGUUUGAACACAACUGAGCUAGAUGAAUCAAUGGUCUACAUUGGUACAUGAGAAGGGCUGCAGCUCAGUGGAAAAUCAUCUGCUUUGCAUGCAGAAAGCCUUGGGUAACCAGAAAUCCUGGAGGUCCACUCCCAGUCAGUGGAUACAUUACUGAGUUUGAUGGGCCCAUGGUCUAUUGUCACUUCCUCUGUUUCUCGCUGGGAUGUUUUAUUCCAAAUGUCCAACAAAAGAGAGUAAAUGAUGUCUCUCUCCCAGACUUGUUGCAGCUGAAGCAAGAGGCCAACAGAAAAUCCAUCCCAUAAAUUAUUUCUGAUCAGUUAACAGGCUAGCUUGACCCAGAAUGUAUUGAUCCAUCCAGCCAUCCAUUCAGAAAGAUUGGAACCGCUUUGAUGCAAAUGCCAUAAAAAGACAUAUCUAGGGGUUUGUGGGUUUUCUAAAUGUCUUCCCACUCCUCCAAAAUGUAACAAAUUCCAAUUGCUUUUUUUUUAAAAAAAGGCAUAAACAAAAUGUUGCAUGCUUUGUAGUUUUAAAAAAACCCAAAAAACAUUUCCUAUUUGCAUGAUAUGCAUUAAGUGCCCAGUUCUCAGGAUUUAAUACAAGAUGUUUUGUGUUUGUGAAUCUAUUUACCGAGUUAGGUUAACCUCACAUCUUCUUUAUUGGUUUGUCUAUCUGUUUGUUUGGGAUAUUUAUGAGGAGCAAAACCUCACUAAAUUGUAAGGCAGUCUCCUCUCCCAGUAUAUCAUACCCAGAAAGCUUACAGUGAAAUUACCGGUGGCCAGUCAAACACAGUAAAUUAGGAAUUGCACAGUAAAUCAAAAAAGCAUCUUAUGCGGGAAGAGGGGAGUGAAAAAGGAACAAUUGAGUUAAGAUAAAUAGACUGAAGCAGCGUAGUUCAAAAGUGACAAAUAAGCCCUCUUUUUGAUCAGCACGGCCCCUUAAAUACACGGGUCAGCAAAACUGGAUUGAGUUACAGGUGUUGGUAGGCAGUAGAGGCAAAUGAGGGCGCAGAGAGGAGAUUCCACAGUAGCUCCAAAAGUAGGAGGGUGGGUAGAUCUGCCAGUUAAACAUUUACAGUAAGUUUGUGUGGCGUUGUGUGGGGUUAUCAAAUAGAUGGUAAAUCAUUAUCUACUCUGCACAAAUACACGCACACAUACACCCCCACCACCUGAAUUGCCAUCGUUGAGAAAGUUAUGUGCCCUUCCUGAAUUUGCUGGCAGCCAGUGGCGUAGCAUGGGUUGCCAGAGGCUGGGGCCACAUGAAGAAGGGUUGGGAGGGGGGAAAUGGAUGCAGUAUGCAUGUGCAUUCAACUGCCUAACGGGGUCUGUGUCACCCAGGAGGAAGGUAAGACAAGAAGUGUUGCUCCUUUGUCUGGACUGGAGAGGUCAUUUUCUGGUUCUCAUGGAGAAGCCAUCUUCAAUGGAGUUGCUAUGUACUGAUCUGAAUCCUAGAACAAUAGGAUCCAGAAUGCAGCAGUCUGAUUGGUCCGCAGGAGCCACCCAAUCCAGCGCCAGGUGGAAGUGAAUCAGCGACCUGAUUGGCCUGCAGGAGCAGCCAAUCAGGCUCCUGGAUGAAGUGAAUCAGCAACCUGAUUGGCCUGCAGGAGCAGCCAAUCAGGCUUCUGGAGGAGGUGAAUCUGCAACCUGAUUGGCCUACAGGAGCAGCCCGGAAUUAGCCAAUCACA